CUUUCCUGCACACACGAAACAUCAGGGUCAUGCAAACUCUGUUACACUUGAAUGCACCUAAAAAACCCCAAAAAGCUUGUAAAAUAAGCUGCUCUGAGGGAAAGAAUCAACAUCUUUUUAAUUAAAUGGCUUCUCCUCCAGAUGGAGAUGACUCUGUAAUUCAACAGCACUGGAAAAUGAAAAUGCAGCCAAAGGGGCUUACAGGGCAUGCCUGAGGAUAAAUGAAGCACUAGUACUUCUGCUUAGUUUGUGUGGACCAAAUGUUAUAAUGACUUGGCACAUCCUCUUUCAAAGGAACAGCCCUUCACUUACUUGAAAGGAUGAAGACUGGAUCCCUUGUGCCUCAGCUUGGUUUUGUGUUUUGAAUGAUAACUGGAAAAUAAAACCAGCAUUGUUGGUGAA